UACGUAGGUGGCAAGCGUUGUCCGGAUUUACUGGGUGUAAAGGGCGUGUAGGCGGGAAUUUAAGUCAGAUGUGAAAGCCCAUGGCUCAACUGUGGGACUGCAUCUGAAACUAAGUUUCUUGAGUGCUGGAGAGGAAAGCGGAAUUCCUAGUGUAGCGGUGAAAUGCGUAGAUAUUAGGAGGAACACCAGUGGCGAAGGCGGCUUUCUGGACAGUAACUGACGCUGAGGCGCGAAAGUGUGGGGAGCAAACGGG
rnacentral:rRNA from 1 species